AUUGAACGCUGGCGGCAGGCCUAACACAUGCAAGUCGAGCGGAUGAAGAGAGCUUGCUCUCUGAUUUAGCGGCGGACGGGUGAGUAAUGCCUAGGAAUCUGCCUGGUAGUGGGGGAUAACGUUCCGAAAGGAACGCUAAUACCGCAUACGUCCUACGGGAGAAAGCAGGGGACCUUCGGGCCUUGCGCUAUCAGAUGAGCCUAGGUCGGAUUAGCUAGUUGGUGAGGUAAUGGCUCACCAAGGCGACGAUCCGUAACUGGUCUGAGAGGAUGAUCAGUCACCCUGGAACUGAGACACGGUCCAGACUCCUACGGGAGGCAGCAGUGGGGAAUGUUGGACAAUGGGCGAAAGCCUGAUCCAGCCAUGCCGCGUGUGUGAAGAAGGUCUUCGGAUUGUAAAGCACUUUAAGUUGGGAGGAAGGGCAUUAACCUAAUACGUUAGUGUUUUGACGUUCCAACAGAAUAAGCACCGGCUAACUUCGUGCCAGCAGCCGCCGUAACAC
rnacentral:rRNA from 1 species